UUUCAAUUAAGUUCUUACUCUUUUGAUUUGGGUUGUUGGCUUUUUUCCUUUUUUUUUUUCCUUUUUUUUUUUCCUUUUUUUUUUCUUUUCUUUUUUUUUAAAAUUCGGCUCUCAAAGUAGAGUCCUUUUAGUUUGUUGUUUUUUUUUUUUGUGUGUGUUUUUGUUUUAGGGUUUUUUGGCCAAAUCCAUUUGUUGGAGGUUUGCAAUAAGUGUCACUGUGGGGUUGCUUGUAUUAUAGGAUUUGGUGUGUCUUUUCAGGUAGCUUAGGAUGUCAGUCGAACCAGGAUGAUCCCUGUGGUGCCUCAGAACUUAUGCUGAUAAUUGACAUGGUUGAUUUAUAUCAUCCCACAUAUUGCCAAGUGUAUCAAACAAGUAUAUCAAACCUUAAUAUCAUUACAGGAUUAUUUAAUGAAAUAUGCUGAAUUCUUGUGGAAAAAUAUCACACCAAACAUAUCACUGUGUUGGAAGGAUAAUUGUGGUUUCUGCAAGAAAAUGGCAAAGUGACAGGUGAUUCCAGCUUCUAAUUGGGAUGCUUGUCUGAUACUGUGAAAUAGAGUUGUUUGAUGGUGGUUAAAGACUUCAGUCCAUCCAGUCUGCAGGCUAAUGUCCUCUUGGAAGUUUAACAAAAACAUUUGCUGGCUAUUUCAUAGGAAGAUCUCCCAUACUGUCAUGCUUCAAAUGAAAUUGCAUUUUUUGGAAGAUGGAAAAUUAGCUUUAUGGAGUUUUGCAAAAUAAAAUAUGAAAGCAUGAGUCUUUUUGAGAAAUUUGAAAAUUGUACUGUCUGUAUAACAUUUAGUUGUGUUAUGGUUUCUAUUAGGCAGUAAAGGCCUACCUGUGUGAAUAAAAUGUAAUCAAUUAAUUACA
rnacentral:lncRNA from 1 species